AGUGAACGCUGGCGGUAGGCCUAACACAUGCAAGUCGAACGGCAGCACAGUAAGAGCUUGCUCUUACGGGUGGCGAGUGGCGGACGGGUGAGGAAUACAUCGGAAUCUACUUUUUCGUGGGGGAUAACGUAGGGAAACUUACGCUAAUACCGCAUACGACCUACGGGUGAAAGCAGGGGAUCUUCUGACCUUGCGCGAUUGAAUGAGCCGAUGUCGGAUUAGCUAGUUGGCGGGGUAAAGGCCCACCAAGGCGACGAUCCGUAGCUGGUCUGAGAGGAUGAUAAGCCACACUGGAACUGAGACACGGUCAAGACGCCUAAGGGAGGCAGCAGUGGGGAAUAUUGGACAAUGGGCGCAAGCAUGAUCCAGCCAUACCGCGUGGGUGAAGAAGGCCUUCGGGUUGUAAAGCCCUUUUGUUGGGAAAGAAAAGCAGCAGGUUAAUACCACGCUGUUCUGACGGUACCGAAAGAAUAAGCACCGGCUAACUUCGUG
rnacentral:rRNA from 1 species